rnacentral:rRNA from 1 species
GACAGAGGUCCCGAGCGUUAGGCGGAAUCACUGGGCUUAAAGCGUGUGUAGGCGGAUUGGUAAGUACCUUGUGAAAUCCCACGGCUUAACCGUGGAACUGCUUGGUAUACUGCUUAUCUUGGGCCACUUAGGGGCUACCGGAACAAACGGUGGAGCGGUGAAAUGCGUAGAUAUCGUUUGGAACGCCAAUGGUGAAAACAGGUAGCAGGGAGUGUGCCGACGCUGAGACACGAAAGCCAGGGGAGCGAACGGG